GGGGCUGAUCGGUUUCGACGGUGGUCGUGCUUCAAGGAGAAGCGGGCCGAGGACGCAGGCUUAUCUCGUUAACGAUGCCUGCGAACCUAUAGUUGCCGAUAACACGCGCAACGACUUCGCCCUCGCCGCCUGAGCGAGCCUCGAAGUCCGUGAGCCCGGGAUCGCUCUCGACCCGGUAGCUCGCGUCAUCUAGAGAGCCACUGCUGCUGACCCUCGUCGUCGGGGUUGGCGGGACUUUUAGGCGACUGGGCCCGUCCGCGAAUGAGUCUGCGCAAGCGCGGGGGCCGAGAAAAUCCACAGCAGACUGCGCCCGGAGAAGUCCUGGAAAAGCGUCACCGGACCAGGGUUCGAUUCCCUGCAGCUCCACCA
rnacentral:tmRNA from 1 species